rnacentral:rRNA from 1 species
UACGUAGGGGGCAAGCGUUGUCCGGAAUCAUUGGGCGUAAAGCGCGCGUAGGCGGCCCGAUCAGUCCGCUGUAAAAGUCCAGGGCUCAACUCCGGAUCUGCGGUGGGUACGGGCAGACUAGAGUGAUGUAGGGGAGACUGGAAUUCCUGGUGUAGCGGUGAAAAUGCGCAGAUAUCAGGAGGAACACCGGUGGCGAAGGCGGGUCUCUGGGCCGUAACUGACGCUGAGGAGCGAAAGCAUGGGGGAGCGAACAGG